CAGAAAGUAGUUUAAGAAAAAUCUAGGUUUUGGAAAUCUAAGAUGCUCCAUCAGAGGUCUUUCUGA
rnacentral:tRNA from 1 species